rnacentral:lncRNA from 1 species
AUCCGGACGUCGGGUAUCAUUGCUAGAUGGUCACCUCGAUUAGUGCAUGAAGUAGUUCAUGUACUACCGGCUUAGUGUUCAAACCUAUCGGAGUCACGCACAUAAGUCAAGUUAAGUAGGAAGGACUUGAUCCAAUUUAAUUGAGAAUUAAAUUGUGGGUCAUGUGAGAUUUGGUUUUGUCUAUGUUCAGCUAGCACUGAACAUGAGGUACAUACUGAAUUUCAUGGAUGUGUAUUUGAUUAUGUCUGUAUUCUGGCUUAAUCAAAUUUCAAUUAAUGUAAUUGAAAUUGAUUUGGGCUCAUUUGUUGAGUAUGAUUUUGAAUUGGAUUCAAAUAAAUGUAAUUGGGCUUUAUGAUGAUUUAUUCCAUAUUUAUUCUAGUCCAAGUGUGACUCGGAUUGAUCUGAAAAUUGAACUAAUUGGAGUUCACAUGAAUCAGAUUCAUGUGGAAUUUUUUCGGAUCCAAAAUCUUUCAAAUUGGUCUUCAAUUUGGUUUAGAACCAAUAAUGGACCCAAGCCUAUUUU